GACGAACGCUGGCGGCGUGCUUAACACAUGCAAGUCGAACGAUGAAGCCGGAGCUUGCUCUGGUGAAUUAGUGGCGAACGGGUGAGUAACACGUGAGUAACCUGCCCUUGACUCUGGGAUAACUGCGGGAAACUGUAGCUAAUACCGGAUACGACCCUCGGAGGCAUCUCCUGGGGGUGGAAAGAAUUUCGGUCAAGGAUGGACUCGCGGCCUAUCAGCUAGUUGGUGAGGUAAAGGCUCACCAAGGCGACGACGGGUAGCCGGCCUGAGAGGGUGACCAGCCACACUGGGACUGAGACACGGCCCAGACUCCUACGGGAGGCAGCAGUGGGGAAUAUUGCACAAUGGGCGCAAGCCUGAUGCAGCAACGCCGCGUGAGGGAUGACGGCCUUCGGGUUGUAAACCUCUUUUAGCAGGGAAGAAGCGAAAGUGACGGUACCUGCAGAAAAAGCACCGGCUAACUACGUGCCAGCAGCCACCGUAA
rnacentral:rRNA from 1 species